ACACCGGCAGCUCAAGUGGUAGCCGCUUUUAUUGGGCCUAAAGCGUCCGUAGCCGGUCUGAUAAGUCUCUGGUGAAAUCCCACAGCUUAACUGUGGGAAUUGCUGGAGAUACUAUCAUGACUCGAGGUCGGGAGAGGCUGGAGGUACUCCCAGGGUAGGGGUGAAAUCCUGUAAUCCUGGGAGGACCACCUGUGGCGAAGGCGUCCAGCUGGAACGAACCUGACGGUGAGGCACGAAAGCCAGGGGCGCGAACCGGAUUAGAUACCCGGGUAGUCCUGGCCGUAAACGAUGUGGACUUGGUGUUGGGAUGGCUCCGAGCUGCCCCAGUGCCGAAGGGAAGCUGUUAAGUCCACCGCCUGGGAAGUACGGUCGCAAGACUGAAACUUAAAGGAAUUGGCGGGG
rnacentral:rRNA from 1 species